AGAGUUUGAUCCUGGCUCAGGACGAACGCUGGCUUGCGUGCUUAACACAUGCAAGUCGAACGGAAAGGCCCUGCUUUUGUGGGGUGCUCGAGUGGCGAACGGGUGAGUAACACGUGAGUAACCUGCCCUUGACUUUGGGAUAACUUCAGGAAACUGGGGCUAAUACCGGAUAGGAGCUCCUGCUGCAUGGUGGGGGUUGGAAAGUUUCGGCGGUUGGGGAUGGACUCGCGGCUUAUCAGCUUGUUGGUGGGGUAGUGGCUUACCAAGGCUUUGACGGGUAGCCGGCCUGAGAGGGUGACCGGCCACAUUGGGACUGAGAUACGGCCCAGACUCCUACGGGAGGCAGCAGUGGGGAAUAUUGCACAAUGGGCGGAAGCCUGAUGCAGCAACGCCGCGUGCGGGAUGACGGCCUUCGGGUUGUAAACCGCUUUCGCCUGUGACGAAGCGUGAGUGACGGUAAUGGGUAAAGAAGCACCGGCUAACUACGUGCCAGCAGCCGCGGUGAUACGUAGGGUGCGAGCGUUGUCCGGAUUUAUUGGGCGUAAAGGGCUCGUAGGUGGUUGAUCGCGUCGGAAGUGUAAUCUUGGGGCUUAACCCUGAGCGUGCUUUCGAUACGGGUUGACUUGAGGAAGGUAGGGGAGAAUGGAAUUCCUGGUGGAGCGGUGGAAUGCGCAGAUAUCAGGAGGAACACCAGUGGCGAAGGCGGUUCUCUGGGCCUUUCCUGACGCUGAGGAGCGAAAGCGUGGGGAGCGAACAGGCUUAGAUACCCUGGUAGUCCACGCUGUAAACGGUGGGUACUAGGUGUGGGGUCCAUUCCACGGGUUCCGUGCCGUAGCUAACGCUUUAAGUACCCCGCCUGGGGAGUACGGCCGCAAGGCUAAAACUCAAAGGAAUUGACGGGGCCCCGCACAAGCGGCGGAGCAUGCGGAUUAAUUCGAUGCAACGCGUAGAACCUUACCUGGGUUUGACAUGGAUCGGGAGUGCUCAGAGAUGGGUGUGCCUCUUUUGGGGUCGGUUCACAGGUGGUGCAUGGCUGUCGUCAGCUCGUGUCGUGAGAUGUUGGGUUAAGUCCCGCAACGAGCGCAACCCUUGUUCACUGUUGCCAGCACGUUAUGGUGGGGACUCAGUGGAGACCGCCGGGGUCAACUCGGAGGAAGGUGGGGAUGACGUCAAGUCAUCAUGCCCCUUAUGUCCAGGGCUUCACGCAUGCUACAAUGGCUGGUACAGAGAGUGGCGAGCCUGUGAGGGUGAGCGAAUCUCGGAAAGCCGGUCUCAGUUCGGAUUGGGGUCUGCAACUCGACCUCAUGAAGUCGGAGUCGCUAGUAAUCACAGAUCAGCAACGCUGCGGUGAAUACGUUCCCGGG
rnacentral:rRNA from 1 species